UCCUGGUUUCCCAGGCAGUCCCAUCAGAGUGCUUCACCUUACGGUGAGUGGCAACUGACAGCAGGGGUUGCGCUCGUUAGAGGACUUAACCCAACAUCUCACGACACGAGCUGACGACAGCCAUGCAGCACCUGUGUAAUUGUCUGAACCGAAGUUCAGAAAACCACAUCUCUGUGGCGAUCAAAAACAUGUCAAGCCCAGGUAAGGUUCCUCGCGUAGUGUCGAAUUAAACCACAUGUUCCACCGCUUGUGCGGACCCCCGUCAAUUCAUUUGAGUUUCAACCUUGCGGCCGUACUUCCCAGGCGGAUCACUUAACGCGUUAGCUUCGACACCGAAUCAGCAAUGCCAAUCCGACGUCUAGUGAUCAUCGUUUAGGGCGUGGACUAC
rnacentral:misc_RNA from 1 species